GAGGAGAGGACAGCCGAGGAGGGAAGGUGCUCUGGACACCAGCGGGGGCCUUUCUCAGAUGCCCAUCGGCCUUAACUGGGCAGGGGCCACCAAGACGGCCACCCCCUUGGCCUCCAGAGGGGCUUCCAAGGACCCUGGCACUAGGAGCCCCACAGUGUGUGGCCCCUGGGUGGCAUCCCUGCAGGCAGGCAGGGGCCCAGGGCCAAGGAAGGGGUUGGCAUCAGCCCUGAGGUCACAGAGGCCUUGCUCUCCCCCUUGCCAGGCUGCCCAGCUGGGGGAAACCGACCCCAUGGUGCCCUGGGCCACCCUGGCCCUCGUGGCCACCAAUGUGGCCUUCUUCUGCCACCCCGUCCACCCGCCCAGCGGGACCUGCCUGAGCGUGGCGUCUGUGUGGGAGCAGGGCCAGUGGGGGCGCCUGCUCUGGGCCCCCUUCCACCACCUGGGCCUCCUCCACCUGCUCCUCAACAUGGGCACCCUCUUCUGGCUGGGCUGGAGCCUGGAGCAGGAGGUGGGCAGCCUCCGGACGGGCACCCUGCUGCUGGCCCUGGCCCUGCUGGGGGGCCUGGUGCACCUUGGGCUCAACGCCCUGCUGGCGCUGGUGACCGGGCACCACUGGUACUGGGAGCACUGCGCGGUGGGCUUCUCAGGUGCAGCCCCCUCUCCCUGGGGUCUCAAGCAAACGAGGGAGGGGGGGUUGGAGACCCCUGGAGAAGCCCUGAGCCAGCCGCAGGUCCCUGCGCCUGGCUGCACUGGAGGGCACCAGGGGAGAUAGCCUCUGCCCUCCCUUGCAGCGUCCCAGGGUCCCUCCUGGGGGGUCUUACCGCUGGGUGACACAGGGAGGGAAGAGAUGCCCCUUCCUCAAAGUCCCAAGGGGCUUCCCUCUAGAAGGGCGAGGACUGUUGAUCGGGGCAGUUCGUCCUGGGAGCUCUGUGGGUGCCAGGAGGGGCAGGGGGUGCUGGUGUGGGGGUCCCUCCCUCCCCUCCUCACAGGGGCCCCUCCCCUUUCCGUCCUGCUGCGCUGCAGGGGUCCUGUUCUCCCUGGAAGCCAUGGGCAGGCAGGCGGAGGCCUUCCCCGUGGCCACCAUGGCUACCGGCAUGACCACCAGAUGGCUCUGCAUUGCGGAAUGCCUGGCCCUGGCGCUCUUCUGCCCCAGGAGUUCCUUCACCGGCCACUUCUCCGGCAUCCUGCUUGGCCUGGCUCUCUCCGCCAUCAAACUGCUCUGGGAGCUCACCUGACGGAGGCCCCCCCCCCCUUCCAGGCUCUGUGGCGGCCAGGCACCCCCUCCCCAAAUACAGCCUCUUCCCUCCCCACACGGCUCUGCAUGACGGUGGUCUCUGGGGGAUGGGCAGGAUCUCGGCCCCUGCAAUCGCAAUGCCCCCCCUCUCCCCCCACAAUGCUGGAUUGGGGCCCUGGCCGGGGCUGCCUCUGCACCAGUCUCCCAGCAGAGGGCGCCCUUGGCCACUGCUGAAGGAAGGCCAGGGGCAGACAGACACCAACUCGGCUUCUACUGGUUCAGCCUCUAGGACUCCCCACCGGGCACAGGUGGAGGCUGCCCCAAGGAAGCCCCAGGAACAAGAGGGGCCCCUGGGCAGCAGCGGGUGGCAACUGGGGCUCCUGGGAAGGACCAUGCGCAUCAGAGGCAUCCGUAGCAGCUCCGGGGGGGGGGGGUCCAAUUGAAGCCCUGUGGACUUCAACCCCCAGAAUUCCCCAGCUGGCAGAGCCCGGACAGCCCCGGAGCCGAGACGACUGAAUGGGCCCCCACUCAGGAGUCCGACUUCAAUUCCCCAGGGGUUUCCCAUCAGCCCAGGGCCACCUAAACACAGCCAGCUGGGCAGGGAGGGGUGCCCAGCUAUCAGGAUGCCCCCCCCCCAUAGAAUGUGGGCUGAAAAGGCACCACCUCUCCAAUCCGUCUCUGGGUGGUUGGGGGUGUUUCAAUGUGUGAGCAUCCCUCUGAGCCCCCCCCCCCUUGCACACACACACACACAGACACACACACAGAGUGGGGGAGCUCCGCAGGGGGCCGCUUGUGCGGUCCCCAAAAGAAAACAGCUGGGCACAUCUGUUAAAUCCACUUUCUCUCCUCGUAUAGAUUCUUUUAUAGACAUUUUGAGUGCAACGCGUCUCGUCUCUCUCUCUAUACAUAUAUAGAUUUGGUGAGCAUAGAUAAGAUACAAGCUUUUAAAAACGUAGGUCCAUAUUUUUCUCCAAAAUAUAAACUCGUCUUCUUUGGGAAGGGGGGGCAGCGAGGGGAAGGACGGGGGGGGGGGCUGGAGGGGGGGUUCCAAAAAGAAAAACUGAGCACGGUGAGCAGACCCUCCUCCCCCUCCCCCAAGGAGAGCCCUGAAAUGAGGUGCAAAGGAGGGGCCCAUGACACCCCCACCCACCCACAGCCCCCUGGCCAUCCGGAGACUCCCCCCCCCCCAGGCGGUGGCUUUGCUUCCAAUGGGGGGCAGGGGGGGCGGCGGAAGGGAGUGCAGAUUCUCUGCCCUCAAUUCGGGGGCUGUGGGGGGGCGAAGGGGGAGUUUAAAUUCAGCCGUGUCAGAUUUCCCCCCCCCCAGAUAAGAGCAGGACGGGGGGGGUAGGGGGGGGGCUUCCGAAAGCAGAAGUGUCGUCACUUGUGGACAUGACUCAGCAGGCACUGAUUGACAAGGGAGGGGGGUCGGGGGGUGGAAGACUUUGGAGGGCAGCAUUUUGUGAGGGGGGGGGACAGACUCUGGGGGAGAGUCCCCCCCCCGGAAAGAGUCGGUCCCCCAUGGGGCAGGUGAGGGAGGACAUCCAGGCAGAAGGAAGCUGAGGGGGGGGGGCUCAAAAGGCUCCAUAUGGCACAUGACAGGAGACCCUCCCCUUGGAAAUUUAUGGGAGGGGGCUUCAAGGCGUCUCCACAGUGCUGGGAGGGGGUGCGGUUCCCCCUUCCUUCUCUUUCGGGUCCCCUCAGGGGUCGUGGCUGUUGGGCACACAAAGCCCCCCACCCUCACUGAGGCUCACUAACUGAAGCAUCCCUGACAGACGACCCCCCCCCCAGGUUUAGUGCAAGAAGGCAGCGAGAGCGAGGAGGGGCAGCUGAGGGGGUCUCUGGCCUUCUCCCCCUGCUAACCAGAGGGUGCCUGGUGGGCACUGGGGGGCGGGGGACAGGCCAAAGAGGGGAGAGGGGGCACAGAUUAGGCCCACUGCACUGUCCCCCCCACGGGAUACAUCGCAAGGUCUGCUGGGAGGCCCCGGGUGGGGGAGGGGCUGCUGCAGACCCUCCUCAGGGGAUUUCUGCAGGCUCUGUGCUGUGCGGGGGGGGGGGGGGGAGGAAGGAGGAGGGGCUAAUUCCAGUGGGACCCCCUCUGGUCCUUCCCAAAGGGGUCUUUGGCCCCGGCUGCCCCCUCCCUCCCCUCCUGCCCUCUGCUCAGGCCCCGGUUGCCCUCGGGACCCCUGUCUCUGCUGUGCUAUGCAGAUGGGAGCCCCCCCCCCACCCGGGGGUCUCCGUCCGCCCUGGAGGCCGAAGGGGGCUAGGAGAAGGGGUUGGUGGGGGGGUGCUUUGCCUGGGCGAAGGGGGGCGAAGGUGCUGCGGCCAUCGGGUUC